GGGGGGUGGCAUUUGCAGGCUGGACCCCUUUUCUGUGUGUGCUGGGAUUGGGUGAUCGUCCAUGCGAGAAGUCUAGAGACCCCUUUUCCCCUGACUCAGCAGGUCCCAGGUCCCUGCGCCCACCCUUCCAGCCUGGGGGCUUGAGCAGCCCCUCCCCUGGACGUGGGAGCGCAGUGCCUCUGCUCUGCAGGGCUGGGGUGUGCUGGAGUUGGCUGGAAAGAGAACACAAAAGGUCAUUCAUUCAUUUCAACCUGAAAGUGCUUGCUCCCCCCAUCCCGAUGGCCUUCAGUUUGGGCUGCAGCUGGUUUAGCCAGCUGGACCUCAGAGUGUCCCACAGGUGCCUGGCACUGGUCACAAGGGAGAGAGCUGGGCUCGCAGGUUCCCUGUGGUGGUUUUGCAGGGUGUGUGGGAGUGGCAGCUAUUUUAGGGAGAUCAGCGAGUCCCUCCUGAACAAGUACUGAAUGACAGACCCUUUGUAGAGGACACACAAUUCCCUUCGGGACCUCACAGGGAACAUCCCAGGGCCACCUCUGGGUCAUCCAGGCCUCCCAGGGUAUCGAUGGCAAUCUAGUUAUUAAUAAUCUACCUGGCCACGUGUCCUAACCUGUUUGUUUCUUCUGGGGUAUCUUGAGCACCCUUCACUUUCCUAAUGACCCCCUCCCCUUGUCCUUACCCACCUUAUGCGGUAAACAAGGCAGAUGGCAGCACCUCCACAUAACAAAGGAGCAAAUGGGUGCCAGCCACCCACAUGAGCAGGUGGUGAGAUUAGAGCCAGCUUUCCACUGUCCGUGAAGAAUGGUGGCCCCUUCCAUGGCCAAUUUGCAGUAGGCAGAGGAGACUCUGGAAGUCAACUCACUCACUGACCUCCUCUGUGCCAAGGAGCCUUGAGAGCUUGGCUCUCCCUGCGUGGGAGACUUGUAUCCCCCUAGCAAGAAAAGAGUUAUGGAGUUAAGCACAGGUGGAAACCAAAUGGUUGGACAGCUUUCCACCUGCGACUGGAGUUGAAGGAUGGUCUCAAAGCCAUUGCUGCACCAGUGUGUACGCUUUGGGCAAUGACCGGGAUUGCACCAUCACCUCAUCCAUGACCACCAAGCGGUGAGGAUCCUGCCCACGUGAGUCUGUCAAAUGCUUAAAUACACACACCUCCCCCCCCAAAAUCCCGAAGGCUGGUAAGUCAUUCUGGUGGUUAAGACAGAGCAUGUUAAUUCACUUAAAUUAACUUUGCUAAAUACGUUUUUGUGAGCCAGUCUGCAUCUCUCAAACUUCUUGCCCCAAACCUCAUAAAAUACAACCAAGACAGACAUCUGGUGUUUCUGACGGCCAGGCGUGGGUCACUCACUGCAGCGUGAUGCAGGCCAAUCUUUCUCGCUCACUACGUCGGGAAGUUUUUUCCAGGGCCAGAGCCAGGCAGGGUCGGGAGGCCCUGCAGCUCUGAGCUCAGGUGGCCCUGCCCCUUGAGUGUGUACAGACCUCCUGGGUGCCCAUGCCUUCUCCCUCUAAGGCACUCACACCACAGACACAAAGAGAGCCCCUGCCACGCAGCUGCUGGCUCUGCAUAGCGGCUUCUCACAUGACUGCACCACCAAAUUCACACAGCAGGCACUGGGCUUCGUCCCUCCUGCACUGUGGGAACAGCGGUUCUGAAUCGGUUGGCACUCAGGUGCAUUGUUUUAAGGAGUAGAAUUUAAAAGCAUCCAUGGCGAAGUCCCACCCAGCACAGCUUUUUCUUCCCCACUGUCCCAAUCCACUGGGCUUAAGUGCUUGGCCACACCAAAAGCCAAAAAGCUGUUCUCCUCAUCUGCAGACAUAUUGCCUGUUUCAUUCCUGACGACUUCUCUUCGCAUUGUGUUUUCUAAAUGGCUGUAUUUAUGGCUGAGUGGACAGGCUUCAUUUGGUAACACUGGUGUUCCCUUUGAACAGGGCUUGAUGGGAUUGAUUACCUGUAGUUGGUUUCAGCCCUCCCCGCUGCAGCCUCAGACCCUGCCCAGGUCUGUGUGGUGUAAGGGCUGGGCUGAAAGCUGGGUUGGAAGCCAGGCUAGCACCCCAGGCCAUGGCUCCACAGGCUUCCUUGUUGCUGCGAAUGCUGUUUGGGGGCAGCUUUUGAAUGACCAGAGGUGCUUCAUAACCAAACUGUGCAAGGGAAAACUUCCUCCAGGUGGUGCCCCUCAAGCCUCCAGCCUGGCAUCGCCCCACGGCGCCUUGAGCCGCCACCGGUCAGGGUUUUCGAAGAAACUGCUGAAAGACUUGGCAUGGCCUUUUCAAGCUG
ensembl:lncRNA